GGCACUGCGAGCAUAGUUCAGAGAUGACUAGAUCCAGACGCGAAUAACAGCCGGUCACUGGGCUUUGUGAGCCAUAGAAGAACCAGAUAGCAAUAACGCGCGUUGCUGGCUAGAGGUGGCGGAAUAAGAAGUAGUGGAGUCGGAUUCUUUGCAAGGGAAUCCUAGGCAGAUACGAGAGGGAGAGAGAUCUGGCAGUGAGGGAAUUGCUGGAGGGGGACCUGAAGGUGGGCGCAGCCGUGGGAAUCGCAUUCACAGGAACAGAUCGCACGCCAUUCAGUGAAUUCUGGUUUCUGUUCUUCCGUGCUUCAGUUGGUCGUCAUGAAGCUCUCUUCAUCCGCAUUCAUAGACUAGUCUCUCAAUCUGUUGCUAAUACGUUUUGGUGGAGAUUUAACUCGCUUUCGCAUAACUCUGGUUUUUCUACGGUGUCCUCUAGCCUAAUUCUGAAUGUAGGCAGGUAUCAAUACAAAGGUUGAAUCAUGCCGCAUGCGUCAGAAGCCACAUGCGAAGAUCAGCUUUCCUCUGUUGCCAAGUUAAAAAUAACGAUCAGUGCAAAUAUAUUUGGCUUUGGCUUCAACACUGCCCAAUGUUGCUCCCCAUGAUUUAAUUUUUUUUUAUAGUGUUCAGGUUUUUACUACCACUCUGAAGGGGUUCUUCCCCGUUUCAAAACAGUUGGAAAGUAAAGAACUCGAGAAACAUUCACAUGAAUUUUAAAUGCGUUUUGAAAAUGAUUUUAAUUAAUAUUAAAUCUCUUUCUGUGUGCACACAGGGAGACAUAUAUACACACUACCAUGCCUCAUACGUCAUGCAUCGAACUGAAGUAAACAAUUUUGGAGCGAUCCUGCCAAGCAUUUUUAAGUCCCGUCGAAAUCAGCCCGAUAUAAAAGCCUUUAACUUUGGUUGGAUUGUCCCAUAUGUAUCUUAACAUUUUUCUUAAACAGUGAAGAGUUUGCAGUGCAUAAGGUGGUGGAAUUUAAAAAAAAUAAAACCCACAAAGGAAGAAAAGAGAAAAUAGUUGUUGGGUCAAUAUUUUUACUCCUGUUCUCCAUCACACAAGGGAACAAGACAGUAAGAAAGAGGAAGCGAAGCCUUGUAGAGGGAAACGGGGACUGUUUACUGUAAAUUUUGUUGAUAGCCUGAAGUGUUGCAUAGCGACUUGGGCAAUAACAGGCGCAUUUGCAAAGGCUGAAAAGUGUGUCUGAAUCAAAUGCUCAGCGUUGUGUUGUAGGGUGGGAUGGCACUCUCUGCCCCUCCCGCCGACCCCAAACUGAGAUACAAUAUUAAAAUGGAUGAAGCAAUAGACUGGAUGAAGCAAUAGAAAGAAAAGCAGCAAAUGAAUGCUUCGAUGGCAUUAAAUCCCUCUACUCUCCCGCCUCAUCAACCUGGUGGGAUUUUCUGUUGCAAGGAAUGCAUGUGAGCUGGAAGGAAAGCAGCUGUGAACCAGUGUCUGUCCUGCUGCCUGCAAAACUGCUGUGGAGCUCAGGCAAUGGAGGCAUCUCUGGGUUGGAAGAAUUAUCCUAGAUGCUGCUGCGGUGUGCAAUACAAAGCAAGGAGGUGCAAGGAAUCAGGGGUGGUGUUGUGCGUGUGUGGAGAGAGGUUGUGACAAUGCAUGCUCGAAAAAGCAAGAUCGGAGAGCCGGAGUCCCCCCUUGUGGGCCCCCUCCUCGAAGGACUGCCUGGGGAAAAGCAGGCAAGUCACCGCUUCGAAAGCCAAAGGGAGCGAGUCAGCAAUGGAAAUCGUCGCUUGCUCCGCAGUUUAAGCCGCGAGGGGGAUGGGGGUAGCUCCUUAUAAAUUUUCUCUGGGCCAUGGGUGUUUGCAAGAAGAAUUACUGGCCCUUUAAAUGAUUGCAUACAUUGCAGCGGGGCCUGCUGCGGUUACAUUGCCUUUAUCUCCUGCGCAGUUCCUCCGUCGUCUAAUCCAAGCAGCCACAUAUACAGAUAUCUAUCUGUGAAGCACGACUAUAGUUCUCCGCAACGAAGGUUCUCAUAAAAUGAAAGAUAACUUUCAUUUUUAAAGAGACGCAGAAUUAAAAUAACGGAGACCGUCCCUGGGUGGGCUCGAACCACCAACCUUUCGGUUAACAGCCGAACGCGCUAACCGAUUGCGCCACAGAGACACCUGCAAGAAACUGCCUGGAAAAUCGCUUGAUCUAAUUCGUAUAGCCCUGCAAUUUCGCUCCCCCCCUUCCUGAUGUAGAAGUCCUAUGUAUAUAUUCAAACAGGAAUGUUGAUUAAUACGUCGCUACUACACAUAAGAAUUUUUAUAUUUGUUAAAUAUAUUUUUAUGUUUAAGAAGUCUGCUAAAAAAGCAAGGUAUAUUGCUUCUUAGGAAUAUUGGUGUUUGUCUACCUUCAGCAAUUUUUAUUUUUGUAGGCUGUUCUGGUUUAUUUAUUGUUGGUUAUUUAACUGAGUUUAUUGCUUUAAUACAAAUGGCUGUAUUUUUAUUUUGCUAUUUCAACUGAUUGUGAGCCACCCUGGGGGCCCUUGAAGGGUAGGUACAAAUAUCUAGAUACAUAAAUAGGUACACGUGAUGUGCAAGCUUUAAGGCAGCAAUAUACCUUUGCUUUGGAAUUUUAAAUGGCAAUCCACCUCCUAUUUACUCCAGAGGAACAAUCAUCUUUAAUAAGAAGUGGGAUUUCUUAGGAAAGGUUUGUGUAGGCUGCAGCCAAAGAUACUGUCUACCAUGAAGAGAAACUAUUCAUUUU